CUACGGGUCGCUCCAGUGGGGAAUAUUGCACAAUGGGCGCAAGCCUGAUGCAGCAACGCCGCGUGAGGGAUGAAGGCCUUCGGGUUGUAAACCUCUUUUAGCAGGGAAGAAGCGAAAGUGACGGUACCUGCAGAAAAAGCACCGGCUAACUACGUGCCAGCAGCCGUGGUAAUACGUAGGGUGCAAGCGUUGUCCGGAAUUAUUGGGCGUAAAGAGCUCGUAGGCGGUUUGUCACGUCUGCUGUGAAAAUCCAAGGCUCAACCUUGGGCUUGCAGUGGGUACGGGCAGGCUAGAGUGCGGUAGGGGAGAUGGGAAUUCCUGGUGUAGCGGUGGAAUGCGCAGAUAUCAGGAGGAACACCAAUGGCGAAGGCACAUCUCUGGGCCGUAACUGACGCUGAGGAGCGAAAGCGUGGGGAGCGAACAGGAUUAGAUACCCGCGUAGUC
rnacentral:rRNA from 1 species